UUGAACGCUGGCGGCAGGCCUAACCCAUGCAAGUCGAACGGUAACAGGAAGCAGCUUGCUGCUUCGCUGACGAGUGGCGGACGGGUGAGUAAUGUCUGGGAAGCUGCCUGAUGGAGGGGGAUAACUACUGGAAACGGUAGCUAAUACCGCAUAAUGUCGCAAGACCAAAGAGGGGGACCUUCGGGCCUCUUGCCAUCGGAUGUGCCCAGAUGGGAUUAGCUUGUUGGUGGGGUAACGGCUCACCAAGGCGACGAUCCCUAGCUGGUCUGAGAGGAUGACCAGCCACACUGGGACUGAGACACGGUCCAGACUCCUACGGGAGGCAGCAGUGGGGAAUAUUGCACAAUGGGCGCAAGCCUGAUGCAGCCAUGCCGCGUGUAUGAAGAAGGCCUUCGGGUUGUAAAGUACUUUCAGCGGGGAGGAAGGGAGUAAAGUUAAUACCUUUGCUCAUUGACGUUACCCGCAGAAGAAGCACCGGCUAACUCCGUG
rnacentral:rRNA from 1 species